rnacentral:rRNA from 1 species
UGGGGAAUAUUGCACAAUGGGCGCAAGCCUGAUGCAGCCAUGCCGCGUGUGUGAAGAAGGCCUUCGGGUUGUAAAGCACUUUCAGCGAGGAGGAAGGUGGUGAGCUUAAUACGCUCAUCAAUUGACGUUACUCGCAGAAGAAGCACCGGCUAACUCCGUGCCAGCAGCCGCGGUAAUACGGAGGGUGCAAGCGUUAAUCGGAAUUACUGGGCGUAAAGCGCACGCAGGCGGUUUGUUAAGUCAGAUGUGAAAUCCCCGGGCUCAACCUGGGAACUGCAUUUGAAACUGGCAAGCUAGAGUCUCGUAGAGGGGGGUAGAAUUCCAGGUGUAGCGGUGAAAUGCGUAGAGAUCUGGAGGAAUACCGGUGGCGAAGGCGGCCCCCCUGGACGAAGACUGACGCUCAGGUGCGAAAGCGUGGGGCAGCAAACAGGAUUAGAUACCCUGGUAGUCCACGCUGUAAACGAUGUCGAUUUGGAGGUUGUGCCCCUUGAGGCGUGGNUCCCGGAGCUAACG